UUGAGUUCAUAAAGAACUCGGACAGAUUUCACAUGCAAGCAAGAAGGAUACAAAAGUCAAUGUAUAAUCCGACUUGAAGUAAAUAUAGAAGAAGCAGACCGAUUUGCAAGAAAUGUCUACCGACUCAAAUAAUAGAUGAACACACAACCCCACUAAAGGAAAUCAUACAGGAACAUAAUGGACACAGUAAUAACUUUAAAGAUAUGAUUAAAGGGGCUCAAUAACCACUUCGUCACAAAAAAAAUCAAUGUACUACCAUACUAACUAAUAAUACGUAGGUGCAAAGCAUAAUCGUAGCAUUCAAGUGUAAAA
rnacentral:lncRNA from 1 species